AGCAGCAGCCGCGGAAUACGGAGGGUGCAAGCGUUAAUCGGAAUUACUGGGCGUAAAGCGCACGCAGGCGGUUUGUUAAGUCAGAUGUGAAAUCCCCGAGCUUAACUUGGGAACUGCAUUUGAAACUGGCAAGCUAGAGUCUUGUAGAGGGGGGUAGAAUUCCAGGUGUAGCGGUGAAAUGCGUAGAGAUCUGGAGGAAUACCGGUGGCGAAGGCGGCCCCCUGGACAAAGACUGACGCUCAGGUGCGAAAGCGUGGGGAGCAAACAGGAUUAGAUACCCCGGUAGUCCCUGUCUCUUAUACC
rnacentral:rRNA from 1 species